GACGAACGCUGGCGGCGUGCUUAACACAUGCAAGUCGAACGGAAAGGCCCUGCUUUUGUGGGGUGCUCGAGUGGCGAACGGGUGAGUAACACGUGAGUAACCUGCCCUUGACUUUGGGAUAACUUCAGGAAACUGGGGCUAAUACCGGAUAGGAGCUCCUGCUGCAUGGUGGGGGUUGGAAAGUUUCGGCGGUUGGGGAUGGACUCGCGGCUUAUCAGCUUGUUGGUGGGGUAGUGGCUUACCAAGGCUUUGACGGGUAGCCGGCAUGAGAGGGUGACCGGCGACAUUGGGACUGAGAUACGGCCCAGAGGCCAACGGGAGGCAGCAGUGGGGAAUAUUGCACAAUGGGCGGAAGCCUGAUGCAGAAACGCCGCGUGCGGGAUGACGGCCUUCGGGUUGUAAACCGCUUUCGCCUGUGACGAAGCGUGAGUGACGGUAAUGGGUAAAGAAGCACCGGCUAACUACGUG
rnacentral:rRNA from 1 species